rnacentral:rRNA from 1 species
ACGGGAGGCAGCAGUGGGGGAUAUUGCACAAUGGAGGAAACUCUGAUGCAGCAAUGCCGCGUGAGGGAAGACGGUCUUCGGAUUGUAAACCUCUGUCCUUGGUGAAGAUAAUGACGGUAGCCAAGGAGGAAGCUCCGGCUAACUACGUGCCAGCAGCCGCGGUAAUACGUAGGGAGCAAGCGUUGUCCGGAUUUACUGGGUGUAAAGGGUGCGUAGGCGGCUUUUUAAGUCGGGCGUGAAAGCUGUGGGCUUAACCCACAAAUUGCGUUCGAAACUGGAAGGCUUGAGUGAAGUAGAGGUAGGCGGAAUUCCCGGUGUAGCGGUGAAAUGCGUAGAGAUCGGGAGGAACACCAGUGGCGAAGGCGGCCUACUGGGCUUUAACUGACGCUGAGGCACGAAAGCAUGGGUAGCAAACAGGAUUAGAUACCCUGGUA